AUUGAACGCUGGCGGCAGGCCUAACACAUGCAAGUCGAGCGAGCGGCGGACGGGUGAGUAAUGUAUGGGGACUGCCCGAUCGAGGGGGAUAAAUACUGGCAACGGUGGCUAAUAACGCAUACUAUCGGAUAACCCAGAUGGGAUUAGCUAGUAGGUGGGGUAAAGGCACACCUAGGCGACGAUCUCUAGCUGGUCUGAGAGGCUGACCAGCCACACUGGGACUGAGACACGGCCCAGACUCCUACGGAGGCAGCAGUGGGGAAUAUUGCACAAUGGGCGCAAGCCUGAUGCAGCCAUGCCGCGUGUAUGAAGAAGGUCUUAGGGUUGUAAAGUACUUUCAGCGGGGAGGCGUUACCCACAGAGGAAGCACCGGCUAACUCCGUGCCAGCAGCCGCGGUAAUAC
rnacentral:rRNA from 1 species